CCCCUCUGUCUGUUAACUUUUGUUUGAGCCUGUCUAGAUCUUUUAUCAGUCUAGAAAGAUGUUGGAGAAAAGACAUCAUCCUCUUCUAUAAUCUCCAUCUGUAAUUGGACUAACAACUGGACCAGGGAAAGCAGGCAACUUACUCUCCAUUCGAUCUUGCAGGUCACACCAUGGUCUCAAGAGGGAAAAUGAGUGCUCUAUGGAUUGAACAGAAAAGGUGAAUCAAAACUCCAACCAUCUGUAUGAGGGUCUGGAUGGAUAAAGGAUGCCCACUGGAGCUGGAAAUGAUGGAUCAGGUGGAUCCACACUUGAACCAUCUGUAUGAUGAUCUGCACCCACUGGAUCUGUAAAUGGUGAAGCAGGUUUCUGAAUUGAUGUCAGAUGCAAAGCAGAAGCUUAUUUUCUUCCAGUUUGGCUUCAUUGUGGAAAAAUGCUGGAAACUAAAAUGCAGAAUUCUGGCCUGGUGUUUGGUCCCCCCUUUCUCUGGCUUGUGUCUCCAUCAUCAUUAUACUAUUGUCAGUGUAAUAGUAUCGUCGUCUGCGUACCAGGACUUUGUUACUCAGCUGUCCCUUCUCCUUCAAGC